UACGGAGGGUGCAAACGUUGCUCGGAAUCAUUGGGCGUAAAGCGCACGUAGGCGGAUUGCUAAGUCGGGGGUGAAAUCCUGGAGCUCAACUCCAGAACUGCCUUCGAUACUGGCGAUCUUGAGUCCGGAAGAGGUGAGUGGAACUCCUAGUGUAGAGGUGGAAUUCGUAGAUAUUAGGAAGAACACCAGUGGCGAAGGCGGACUCACUGGUCCGGUACUGACGCUGAGG
rnacentral:rRNA from 1 species